GACGAACGCUGGCGGCGUGCUUAACACAUGCAAGUCGAACGGAAAGGCCCUGCUUUUGUGGGGUGCUCGAUUGGCGAACGGGUGAGUAACACGUGAGUAACCUGCCCUUGACUUUGGGAUAACUUCAGGAAACUGGGGCUAAUACCGGAUAUGAGCUCCUGCUGCAUGGGGGGGGUUGGAAAGUUUCGGCGGUGGGGGAUGGACUCGCGGCUUAUCAGCUUGUUGGUGUGGUAGUCGCUGACGAAGGCUUUGACGGGUAGCCGGCCUGAGAGGGUGAACGGCGACCUUGGGACUGAGAGACGGAGCAGAAUCCUACGGGAGGCAGCAGUGGGGAAUCUUGCACAAUGGGCGGAAGCCUGAUGUAGCAACGCCGCGUGCGGGAUACCCGCCUUCGGGGUGUAAACCGCUUUCGCAUGUGACGAAGAGUGAGUGACGGUAAUGGGUAAAGAAGCACCGGCUAACUACGUG
rnacentral:rRNA from 1 species